rnacentral:lncRNA from 1 species
GGAGAUGGGGAUAGGUUGACCUCAGGUCUCCCCACUGGAAGCCUGAGGUAGGAGGAGCGGGGAUAGGUUGACCCCAGGUCUCCCCACUGGAAUCCCGAGGUAGAGGAGCGGGGGUAGGUUGACCUCAGGUCUCCCCACUGGAAGCCUGAGGUAGGGAGAGUGGGGGUAGGUUGACCUCAGGUCUCCCCACUGGAAGCCUGAGGUAGGGAGAUGGGGGUAGGUUGACCUCAGGUCUCCCCACUGGAAGCCUGAGGUAGGGAGAUGGGGGUAGGUUGACCUCAGGUCUCCCCACUUUGUGCGAAAUCGUUCAGAAUAAUAUAAAACCAGUCUACACACCACCAAGGUGAAUUGGUUUAGUCUUGACUCUUGGUUGACAGUGUUGGGGGAUGGGUAAUGUAGUCUUGACUCUUGGUUGACAGUGUUGGGUGUUGGGUAAUGUAGUCUUGACUCUUGGUUGACAGUGUUGGGUGAUGGGUAAUGUAGUCUUGACUCUUGGUUGACAGUGUUGGGGGAUGGGUAAUGUAGUCUUGACUCUUGGUUGACAGUGUUGGGGGAUGGGUAAUGUAGUCUUUACUCUUGGUUGAGUGUUGGGUGAUGGGUAAUGUAGUCUUGACUCUUGGUUGACAGUGUUGGGGGAUGGGUAAUGUAGUCUUGACUCUUGGUUGACAGUGUUGGGGGAUGGGUAAUGUAGUCUUGACUCUUGGUUGACAGUGUUGGGUGAUGGGUAAUGUAGUCUUGACUCUUGGUUGACAGUGUGGGGUGAUGGGUAAUGUAUUGAUGUUCGAGUUGCCAAAUCAACACAAAUUUCUUUC